rnacentral:rRNA from 1 species
UACGGAGGGUGCGAGCGUUGUCCGGAAUCACUGGGCGUAAAGGGCGCGUAGGCGGCGCGGGUAGUCGUCGGUGAAAGCUCAGGGCUCAACCCUGAGUCGGCCGGUGAUACUCCCGUGCUCGAGCACUGUAGAGGCAGGUGGAAUUCCGGGUGUAGCGGUGGAAUGCGUAGAGAUCCGGAAGAACACCGGUGGCGAAGGCGGCCUGCUGGGCAGUAACUGACGCUGAGGAGCGAAAGCGUGGGGAGCGAACAGG